UAUUGCUUUAGCACAACAUGUCUUUUACACACUAUAAAGUGAUCAAAUUAUACACUUUGUCAUAUGAAAAAUGAGAAAAAAAAUGGCUAAAACUCUCAAGUUUGUUUAUGUUAUGAUUUUAUUCACUUCUCUAUUUCUUUUUGCAAAGAACGUCGUUGGGUAUAUUAAUUGCAAAACUGAUGAUGAUUGUCCAAAACUUGAAUCAAGAAUGGUAGUGCUUAAGUGCACUAAUAGCCGAUGUGCAGCUGUGAUCUUACACUAGCAAGAAAUCUAAGCAAUAUAACUCAUAAUUUAAUAUUCCAUAGUUUCCAUUUAGUUAUUGUUCUCAUUCCCACUAAUUGUAUUUUUUAUUUCUUUUUCUUUUCGUAAUGUCAUGGAUCUUGCAUUAAUGGUUUUGCGCUCCAAGACUUUGACAAUGAAAUGAAAUAAGAUAAUAAAAUUGGAUUGACACGGUUUGACUUUUUUUUUUUGUGAUGGUUUGUCUCCUUUUUCGAUGUUCAUGAGGUCUCAGAAUUAAGUUUGUUGAUCCACAAAAUCAAAUUUUCAUGACGAUGCCUCUUCGCUCUUGUGUAGCUUCCACUCCGUAGAUGAUGGAGAUAGGCACAAUCAUCUUUCGAAAAAAACAAGAACAAAAUGAUUCGGGAUUAAGCCAAGGCACAUGAUGUGGAUUUUUUUGGCUACGUGAUCGCCUAUCUCUAAUUGGGAAAAAAAGUAUCCGAAAUUCCAAUUUCAUGAUUUGUCAACUCCACUACAACACUAUUGUAAUAAGUUGCAACGAUGUGACACAUGUCCAGGAGCAUCAACCACUUAUCAUCAAAUGCAAUACCGCUACUAUUUUGAGGAGGAUGCAAAUCAUUCAAGAUAUAGUUAAAAUAAUCAUCACUCCCAUAUAUCUAUGUAUAGGUUACGCUAUUUGCUAAAAUAUUUCUUCAAUUUUCCAUGGGCCCUUUCCACUCUGUUGGUGGUUAUGCAGCCAAGAUGCAAGACACUGUUUUACCAUGCCCUCACUAUUUUUUCCUUAACAGUAUCCAAAAUGGUACUUUCAACAUAGUUGAUGACAGUACACCAUUACUAGUUUUUUAGUCAUAUUUGUGUCCUUUUUGUAAUGUUUUGAGAGUCAAAUGCUUGUAUACAUGGUUAAAUCAGCUCAAGAUUCAUAAAAGAUAAGUUUUGCACAAAUUGGAGAAAAAUCAAGAAUUUAGCUACUGGAUCGUGCCACGAUGGACCUGAAUCGUGGCACGUUUGAAGCGUGGAAUUUACCUGAAGAUAUUGGAAAAAGCGUGGCACGAUGGAUAUGUAACGCGCCACGAUGGUUUAGUAAAUUUGCUGUCACGUCAGAUUAAUGAAGGAAUCAUGCCACGAUGGACGUGAAACGUGGCACGAUGGUGGGCUUUUCUGAAACCGUAAAUUCUUUUUCUAUAAAAUUCAUAUGCGAUCAGAAGCUUUGUGUGCGAUUUUGGAGACCUAAACAGAGCAUAGACAACACCAGGAAGUUGAAGAGCACGCAGUGGAUCUCAGCCAACUCAUAGUUGGUUCUGAUUUAUGUAUGUUCUAUUAUUUCUAUGUAUUCGAUUGUUUAGUUAUGAGUAGCUAAACUCUUAGAUUGAUUAAGCCAUGAGAUGAAUCUUUGUGAUCUGUGAGCAUGUAAUUUGUUAAGAACUCUCUUUGACAUCAAUGAAAACCUAGUCUUUAUUCAGAA